rnacentral:lncRNA from 1 species
AUGCGAUCGGAUGUUUUCUUAGGUCUCGUUCUCAGCUGUGUCAACAGCUAUAUGCAGCAGUGCUUCUUUACAGGGGGUAAGGACUUGUGCCGAUUCAAAGGCAGGCAGAGGCUUCCAGCCACAGGAUUCUCGGGCAUCCGUCUCUGCGGUUCUUGGAAAAUAGUUGUUCCGUUAGCAUCUUUUUCCUCCAGGGUCAUCCGAGCCCGGCAGGCUCGCCUGGGGUCCCUCCUCGGUCAUCUCGUUCAGCAUUCUCUCGGUCCUCGUGAGGACUUUCUUGUCUCAGAGAGUUUUCUCUCCCUGUCACGUCCCCUUGUCUCACGGGUGUCUGGGGGUAUUUGGUCCGGAGCUGCUCUGCCCUGGCGCCCAGCCUGGUUAUGCAGACAGAUUGACCUCAUGGCAGAGCGCUGUCCCAGAUGAGGGGGUCCCCCUGAGAAGGUCGGUCACGGUUUUACUUUGCAGCGGGGCUGGAACCGGUCACUGUGUUACAGCUCUUCUCUUUGUAUUUAUUUCUAGGAAGUAAAGCUGGAAAGCAGCGGGGAAGGCGAAGCAGGUGGGAGGUGAGCCUCGGUUGGUGGAGAGAAGCAGUUGUUCUUGCUGGGGUCGCAGUUUCUGGUGCAACUCCAAUCCCUUGGUUUUUUUUAUUUUAGGUGGUCUACUUGCAAGAUAUCCCCGCCCAGGAUGCUGGAGGACAGGUGGGUGCAAGCUCUGUGUGUGUUUUGGUGUUUAAGUCCCUGGUUUGCUGCUAGUCUUUAGUUCUUGAAGAUAGAAUGAAAGAACCACAUCACAAAUCCCACCUUGUGGAUCCUGACACACAUUGGUGUCACGGACAGGAUUCUGAGAGACAGAAGGGGUUGCAGGUUUAUCGUGCAGUCAUUAUCAGGGGAAAGAUGUUUCGCCUCAGCCGCCCCUAGCCUGCCACGCUGGUGAGCAGUGUCUAGAAAGCAAGGGAGGUGACUCGAAUUUCUUAAAAACAGCACAUGCCUCAGGGCAAAGCACCCCACACUCAUUUGAGGGCUCUGUCUUCAGAACUUUACAGGGGAUCUUUGAGUAUGAGAAGUGGGACUGAGAGGUUUUUCUGUUUGAAGUCCCUGGUUUGCUGCUAAUCUUUAGUUCUCUAAGAUAGAAGGAAAGAACCACAUCACAAAUCCCACCUUGUGGAUCCUGACACGAAUCGGUGUCACGGACAGGAUUCUGAGAGACAGAAGGGGUUGCAGGUUUAUUGUGCAGUCAUUAUCAGGGGAAAGACGUUUCGCCUCAGCCGCCCCUAGCCUGCCACGCCGGUGAGCAGUGUCUAGAAAGCAAGGGAGGUGACACGAAUUUUUUAAAAACAGCACAUGCCUCAGGGCAAAGCACCCCACACUCGUUUGAGGGCUCUGUCUUCAGAACUUUACAGGGGAUCUUUGAGUAUGAGAGGUGGGGCUGAGUGGUUUUUCUUCUGUUUCAGUCCCUGGUUGGCUGACAAGCUUUUGUAGUCCAAGAUGGAAUAAAGGAACCACAUUGGGAAUUCCA